rnacentral:antisense_RNA from 12 species
CACCCAUCGCGGCACGCGCCGGGGGGCGCAGACUGGAAUUGGAACAGGGGCCAGUCAUGCGCGCGACGGGGAAGCCAGGGGUCGAUGGUCGGGGGACCAUCGGCCCCAUUUUU